AAAAAAGAACUGUGAUGUUGAAUCGAUUAAAAUUUCUUAUUCGCUUGCUUUUAUUUACCUCAACGAUAUGUUUAUGCAUGAAAAAUUAUGAACAUAUUGUACUUUGUACAACUAUAACAAAGGCAUUUCAGUGUUGUAAAACACACAAAAAAAACGAGUCAAAGAGUCAGUCAAAAAGCGCAGUUCAUGUUAUAUUAUUGAGUACACACACUACCGAACUUACACACCAUACACCGUUUACAGUUAAUAUGAUUUUAAAAUUAUUAUUCUAAAUGGGAUUAUAUUGUUGAAAAUGUGAAGUGUUGAUGUCAUGGGAUCGUCUGGCACUUCGUCUACAUUUUCCAUAUUUGCCGCGUCUUGUGACACGGAUUUAUAGUUUAUAUCAAUGUUUUUAGUUAAUUUGUUUCUCUGUCGUCUUUGCAAUCAAUAAAAUUUCUUCG